CCCAUAUUACCUUGUCUUCUCUCUUGAGUUGAAUGCUUUCAGAUUCCAGCUUAGUCCAAUGCACGUGCACUACUAUUAUUAUCCACACUAUUCGGUCGUGCAAGUGAAAGGCAAUAAUGACGAUAUAUGAUGAACUGGUUGAGAAGCUGGUAUGAACUCGACCUCUCUUGUUUUUGUAAAUAUGAUUAGUUCAUCAUUCCUGAUUCAGCCUAUUAUGAAUGAAACAUGUUUGCAAUGACAAUUAGAGAUUAUAGUUCCUCAUGCCAUGCUUAAGUAGCUAGGAGUUUAUAAUGGUUUACCUUGCGUGUCAACAUGCUAUUAAAAUUGUUGUGAUGUGGUAUGAUAGGGUGGUAUCCUCCUUUGAACGAUUUGAGUGGCUUGACUUGGCACAUGUUCACGCAUGUAGUUGAAACAAAAUCAACAUAGCCUCCAUGAUAUUUAUGCUCAUGGUGAAUUAUAUCCUACUCAUGCUUGCAUUCAGUGUUGAUUAAUUUUAAUGCAUGUUCAUGACUGUUGUCGCUCUCUAGCUGGUCGCUUCCCAGUCUCUUUCUAGCCUUCACUUGUACUAAGCGGGAAUACUGCUUGUGCAUCCAACUCCAUAAACCCCAAAAGUUAUUCUAUAUGAGUCCACAAUAUCUUCCUAUAUGCGGUAUUUACCUGCUGUUCCAAGUAAAUGUGUAUGUGCCAAACUCUAAAUUUUCAAAUAAACAUUCUGUUUUGUAUGCUCGAAUAGCUCAUGUAUCAACUAGGGUUGUCUGUAUCUUCCAUGCUAGGUAGGUUAUUCUCAAGAGGAGUGGACUCCGCUCCUCACUCACGAGAAAAUGGCUGGUCACCGGGAUGCCCAGUCCCAUGCUCAAAUCAAAUCAAAAUAAUUGCAAACAAAACUCCCCCAGGAUUGUUGUUAGUUGGAGGCACCCGUUGUUUCGGGCAAGCCAUGGAUUGAUGCUUGUUGGUGGUGGGGGAGUAUAAACUUUACCAUUCUGCUUGGGAACCGCCUAUAAUGUGUGUAACAUGGAAGAUAUCGAGAUCUCUCGGUUGUUAUGUUGACAAUGAAAAUAUACCGCUCAAAAUAUUUUUCAUCUCUAUUUCAAAAUUGAGCUCUGGCACCUCUACAAAUCCCUGCUUCCCUCUGCGAAGGGCUUAUCUAUUUACGUUUAUGUUGAGUGAUCACCCUCUUAUUAAAAAACACCAGUUGGAGAGCACCACUGUCAUUUACAUGUAUUAUUGUUAGCUUACAUUGAGUAUGACUUGACUGGAUCUCUUUUACCAUGAAUUACAAUUUCUAGUCGGCCCUUGAUCUUCAGGGGUGCUCUGCAUUUAUGUUUUGCGGUCUCACAAAGGGCUAGCGAGAUACCAUCUUGUUAUAUCAUAUUAUGAUUGUUUUGAGAAAGUGUUGUCAUACGAGAUUUAUUAUUAUUGCUCGCUAGUUGAUUAUGCCAUUGAUAUGAGUAAACAUGAGACCUAGAUGUUAUUGUGAGUAUGGUUAGUUCAUAAUCUUUGCUGAAAACUUGAAUGCUCGCUUUACAUAUUUACAACAACAAGAGGAAACAGAGUUUGUAAAAGUUUUUCUUUAUCACUUUCAGUUUGUCAACUAAAUUGCUUGAGGACAAGCAAAGGUUUAAGCUUGGGGGAGUUGAUACGUCUCCAAUGUAUCUAUUUUUCCAAACACUUUUUUCCCUUGUUUUGGACUCUAACUUGCAUGAUUUGAAUGGAACUAACCCGGACUGAUGCAGUUUUCAGCAGAAUUGCCAUGGUGUUAUUUUUGUGCAGAAAUAAAAGUUCUUGGAAUGACCUGAAAAUCAAUGGAGAUUAUUUUUGGAAUAUAUAAAAAAUACUGACGAAAGAAUCAAGGCCAGGG
rnacentral:lncRNA from 1 species